GAUGAACGCUGGCGGCGUGCCUAAUACAUGCAAGUCGAGCGAACGGACGAGAAGCUUGCUUUUCUGAUGUUAGCGGCGGACGGGUGAGUAACACGUGGAUAACCUACCUAUAAGACUGGGAUAACUUCGGGAAACCGGAGCUAAUACCGGAUAAUAUUUUGAACCGCAUGGUUCAAAAGUGAAAGACGGUCUUGCUGUCACUUAUAGAUGGAUCCGCGCUGCAUUAGCUAGUUGGUAAGGUAACGGCUUACCAAGGCAACGAUGCAUAGCCGACCUGAGAGGGUGAUCGGACACACUGGAACUGAGACACGGUCCAGACUCCUACGGGAGGCAGCAGUAGGGAAUCUUCCGCAAUGGGCGAAAGCCUGACGGAGCAACGCCGCGUGAGUGAUGAAGGUCUUCGGAUCGUAAAACUCUGUUAGUAGGGAAGAACAUAUGUGUAAGUAACUGUGCACAUCUUGACGGUACCUAAUCAGAAAGCCACGGCUAACUACGUG
rnacentral:rRNA from 1 species